GGUCCAUGUGGCCUUCCAUAUCAGGUUCUCCAGUUUCUUCUUACCUCCUUGAAAUAACCAGCAGAUGUGCUAAGCUGGAGUACAUCCCCACCUCGCGAACUGUAAAUCCUUCAAAUCUGAAAAAAUAUUGACUCAAGUAAAGGUGUGGGCGAAUAUGGGAACGGUUGAAGGUGGGUGCCGAUUAUAUAAAGGUUACGUAAAGCACAGGGACGUUCAAUCUGUGCUUUCUUCCAGUUCAUCAGCCAAGAGAGUCAUCCUUUUAAUUUGCUUGCUAAUUACAUAAAAUAAUAUCACCAGGAUUUCACACCUCCAUCCUCGUGAAGCUCAGGAGCUGAGGUGAAUAAAUCCUCCUGGGAGUUUUAUCGCAAAUGCCCGUCGUCACGGCAAUCUCUGUUUACGACUGAUCGGAACAGGUGUCCGUGUCCUGCCAAGACCUGCUGAGCUGUGAGUUGUGGCUCUGUCGCUGUUGAUGUGAGCACUGCUGGUGUUGGAGCUGCAUGCUGAAAACAUCUCUGCGAGCAGAAGUCCACAGAGAGGCAGGAUGGAGAGGAAAGGAAGAGAACACUAAUGCAAUUGUGCAUUAAAUUCCCACAGUGUCCGUCGCGGCUUUGCAGCUCAGUCUCACUGUAACUGUGUGGAGCUUUUAGUUUUUUUCCAAGAGGAGAACGAUGAUGAAAGAUUAAACGGCCAUUGUUGAACUUUGAAACUUACAGCAAGUUUGAGUCGGUAUGGAAGUCCAGAAAGGCCAUACAUUAUUUAUUUUAUACACACACACACACACACACACACAC
ensembl:lncRNA